UUGGGACUGAGACACGGCCCAGACUCCUACGGGAGGCAGCAGUGGGGGAUAUUGCGCAAUGGGGGCAACCCUGACGCAGCAACGCCGCGUGAAGGAUGAAGGUUUUCGGAUUGUAAACUUCUUUUAUUAAGGACGAAAAAUGACGGUACUUAAUGAAUAAGCUCCGGCUAACUACGUGCCAGCAGCCGCGGUAAUACGUAGGGAGCAAGCGUUGUCCGGAUUUACUGGGUGUAAAGGGUGCGUAGGCGGCUUUGCAAGUCAGAUGUGAAAUCUAUGGGCUCAACCCAUAAACUGCAUUUGAAACUGUAGAGCUUGAGUGAAGUAGAGGCAGGCGGAAUUCCCCGUGUAGCGGUGAAAUGCGUAGAGAUGGGGAGGAACACCAGUGGCGAAGGCGGCCUGCUGGGCUUUAACUGACGCUGAGGCACGAAAGCGUGGGUAGCAAACAGGAUUAGAUACCCUGGUAGUCCACGCUGUAAACGAUGAUUACUAGGUGUGGGGGGUCUGACCCCUUCCGUGCCGGAGUUAACACAAUAAGUAAUCCACCUGGGGAGUACGACCGCAAGGUUGAAACUCAAAGGAAUUGACGGGGGCCCGCACAAGCAGUGGAGUAUGUGGUUUAAUUCGAAGCAACGCGAAGAACCUUACCAGGUCUUGACAUCCAACUAACGAAGUAGAGAUACAUUAGGUGCCCUUCGGGGAAAGUUGAGACAGGUGGUGCAUGGUUGUCGUCAGCUCGUGUCGUGAGAUGUUGGGUUAAGUCCCGCAACGAGCGCAACCCUUGCUAUUAGUUGCUACGCAAGAGCACUCUAAUAGGACUGCCGUUGACAAAACGGAGGAAGGUGGGGACGACGUCAAAUCAUCAUGCCCCUUAUGACCUGGGCUACACACGUACUACAAUGGAUGUUAACAGAGGGAAGCAAGACAGCGAUGUGGAGCAAACCCCUAAAAACAUUCUCAGUUCAGAUUGCAGGCUGCAACCCGCCUGCAUGAAGAUGGAAUUGCUAGUAAUCGCGGAUCAGCAUGCCGCGGUGAAUACGUUCCCGGGCCUUGUACACACCGCCCGUCACACCAUGGGAGCCGGUAAUACCCGAAGUCAGUAGUCCAACCUCGUGAGGACGCUGCCGAAGGUAGGAUUGGCGACUGGGGUGAAGUCGUAACAAGGUAGCCGUAUCGGAAGGUGCGGCUG
rnacentral:rRNA from 1 species